CCAAAAAAAACCAGAAAGAUAAGGAGAAGGCUCUAGAAAGAUUCCCCACUUCUCCUCUUUGCCCGUCUCCUCUGCUCCAUGGCCGCCGCCUUCCUCCGACUCCCUCGCGACAGUUGCCGCCGUCCUCCACAGGUAACUCGUUCCAGUGCUGCUUGCCAUCCGCUCCUCCGACCUCCACCGCAGACCAUCGCUCACCUCCUCCACUGCCGCCCGAGUCAACCUGCAUCCGCUAGCCCCGCUCGCCUUCGAUCUCCCCAGCAUCCAUCGCCGCUCUGCCUCUACCUCCGUCUGCCGCCGCAUCCGACCACCCUUGGCCCUAUCCAACAGGGCUGCCUUUUAUGCGUUGCUUGCACCCCAUGCUCCCUCCUCCUCCAGAUCCGAGUCACUCCCAUGUACAUGCAUCAAGAUGCCCCUAUUCUUCCGACAUGACAACAGCUGAUCUGUUUUCUUGUGGAACUCUCCGAGAAUUAAGAAACCCUCUGUUUUUCUUGGAACUCUUGGCCUGGUUGUGUGCCCCUCCUCUUCUGUGAUUUAUAGCAUCUCCAUAGCCAUGGAGAAACCUGAAGAUCCAAGUGGAGAAAGGAAAGGUUGUCAAGCAAGCUUUCUUGAACCAAAUGAUGAAAGAGUAUGUGGAUGCGGCAAAGUUUUGUGGUCAAAAUGGAUGGACAAAGGAGUUGGAGCAUGACAAGCAAAACCUAUCUCAGUUAUUUACGAUGAGGGGAGUACAAAGAGGGCCUCUGCGUGAUCCUCCUUGAUGCCUUCCCUGUUCUCCCUGCAUGGCUUCGCCUCGCUCCCCAUCCAGGCCGCCACGAGAGGCAGCUCCAAUCCAUCAUCGGGUUCCUCUCUCACCCUCUGUGUCCGGGGUUCAGUUCGUUCUGGUAAAAAAUGUAUAAGAAAGUAUAACUUCAAUACUCUGCAAUUGUUAUCUUCUUUGUACUGUAGCCGGUCACAGUAUUGUCAUUUGUAGUGCACUUGUAGAGUUCAAGUCCAUGAUCUGCAGAACAUGUUUAGAUCUGUUUUCUCAUACUGGCACAUAAUAGCAGGGAUUAAUGUAUUAAGCUCUCCACCAAUUCAGUUCCUCUUUUAUUUUAAUAGCUCCACAUGUGUCGUCCGUCAACUCUAUCGCGUACCAGCCCUGCUACCGGACAAGAAUGCGUCCUAAUGGGCGCAAGGUCCAACUUGAAACUACUGGUGCAUUUUUAGUGUUAAUUACUCUUAUUCAUUUUUCAUAAAAGCACUAAAAUAUAGUAUAACAAUCAAUGAUUGUUGUGCUGCCAUAUGCCAUAUCUCAAAUUUACAAAGAAAAUACUAAGUGACAUUUGUUUCUUCUAUCUUGAUUAGCCCAAGUGUUUUUCUCAAUGAAGUGUAUUGGUAUUUAAAUUAUCAACAAGUGGAACAGAUUGUGUUUCUAAGCACCUUACAACAUAAUUUUCUUAAUGCUAACAGUAAUGAGAGCAUCAAUAUUGUAGGUAUGGACGGUAGUAUGCACACUAUGAUGUAUGUUCUAUUGAUUCUGUAUCUACUUGAUGUUGCUCAUCAUCUCUUGAAUUUUUCAAUAUUAGUUCUCAUUGAUGUUGUACAUGACUUUGCAAGGGAACACCCAUUCAUCUCAUGUUAGCUUUUGGAGGAUGGUUCUAUGCACAACCAUGUAGGCAAGGGCAACGCUGUAUGCUGCAAUGAUUUUGAGAACAUGAUUGGUAGUCUAGAUGAAUUGGAAACUUAUGAACUGAUAUGUAUCUAGGUGAUGGAUGAAAAUUUGGAGUGGUGCGUGUAUGGAUGUGUACAACUGUUAUGUUAUUGCUUUUGAGCAAGUAAACUUUUCACUUGUCUAUAACAAGAUGUCAGAUCAUGGUUUAACGGAUAGAUAUCUGCUAUGUAUACACUGAUUUUGGAUGCAUGCACAGAGGUAUGAUGUGGAUCAUGGUGAUUGGAUCAUUUAUAGAUA